CAAAGGGGGGAGAGGAUCAUCGAUCCCCCACUUUUGUUUCAUAGUGGCCCGGGGUAUAAUAAAAUUUACAAAGUUUAGAGCAUCUUCAAGAGUUUGCUAUUUCUAGCUUGCCAAAUUGUGAUGUUUGGCAACUCUGUAAAAUAAAUGGCAAGUGAAAUAUUUAGAGCAUCUCCAAGAGUUUGCCAAUUUAGACUUACCAAACCACAAAUAAUGGGCCCAGCAGUAACCGUCGGGAGGCAUUCCAACCCCUUCGUGAUUGCUUGUCGCGGGUAGAUUUCGUCGCGGCGUGGAGACAGGGGAGAUUGCGUCACGGCGCGCAUAGUUUUCCGUCGGCAGAUUCCUUCGCGAGAUCGAUCAAGGCAGCUGCCCUAGUGCGUCACUUCCUCCUGCGUGAGAUGAAGGCAGCGUGAGAGCAGAUUCCGUCGUGAGAUCAAGCAGCGUCGCAGCAGGGUGCGUGACUCCUCGCACAGGAAUCAUGCCUAGGAAGAGAUCUCUUCUCCAAAGACAAUUGGAUGAUUCAUCAUCCGAUGACAAUUGUUCUAUAAUAUUACCGGCUGCUCAAAUUUUACAAAUCGCUAGCAAGAAAAAAGGGCCACAUGGUGGAUCUGUCAAAGGUCACAAAGUAAUUUACCGUGAUAGAGAAGCCGGCCAUGAAAGAAUGUUUUAAGAUUAUGUAGAAGGUUGUUCAUCUUAAAUUUUAGAUAAAAUUGUUAUAUUUGAUCUCAUAUUAAUUUGUGUAAAUAUUUUGGAUAUUUUGGUUCAGGUACCGGAUGUCUAGAAAUCUAUUCUUACGCAUAAUGAAUGAUGUAGAAGAGCACGAUGACUACUUUGUGCAGAAAAGGAAUGCAGCUAAUGUACUUGGCUUGAGUUGCUUCCAAAAAGUCACUGCCACAAUGCGUAUGCUGACUUAUGGAACAGCUGCUGAUGCCGCAGAUGAGUAUGUUCGUAUUGGUGAAAGUACAACGCUGGAGAGCCUGCGUCACUUCGGUCGUGCAGUUGUUGAUCUGUAUGAAGAUGAAUACCUCAGACAACCCAAUGAGGCGGACACAGCACGUUUACUUGGUAUGGGUGAGAAAAAAGGAUAUCCAGAAAUGCUAGGGUCCAUUGAUUGUAUGCAUUGGGUGUGGAAGAAUUGUCCAUAUGAAAAGCAGGGUCAGUACAAGGGCCAUGUAGAUAAGGCCACCAUCAUUUUGGAGGUUGUUGCUUCAGAGGACCUUUGCUUCAGUACAACCGGCAGGGUGUCGCUAGGUUUUUCUGGCGGCGAGAUCGGCUUCCCAGGGAACGCGCGAAGGAAACAGACUCACCGCGCAAGGCCGCGCGUGAGGUUUGGCGACGGAAUCCGCCGCGCGGAUAACUGGACGCGCGGAACAAAGUUUUGGCAAGUUAAGAAUUUUGGCGAGCGUGAAUAGCAAAUUGUUGGAGAACGUUUUUUGCAACUUUUGCCAAAUUUUAUAGUAUACCAAGUAGAAUAGCAAACUCUUGGAGAUGCUCGGUAUUUACAUCGCAGAUAAAAUACCACGCCAUUUGGCCCUGGGAUUUAAAUAUUUUUUUUCUCUAUUUUUAAAAGCUGAUUUCUAUUUUUAAAAGCUGAUUUUAUAUUUUCUAUAAAAAAAAUUUCUAUUUUUUACUGGCGGUUGUCUUAGCAAACAGCCUGUGAAAAUAGAUUUCCACAAGCGGUUCUUAGUUAACCGCCAGUGCAAAGAUUUAUUUGUAAUGGCCCCUAACGCCAACUGUUACGAAAAAUGACUGUACAAAUAUAUUUACAACCGAGCUUCUUUCUACUAGGGAAUAUUAGUUGAUUGUUUAUGCAAUUGUAAGAAUUAAGAGGGACAUCAUAAGCCUUAGCUAGCUAUCCUCUCCAAGGACCACGAGGAGAUAGACGGUUCUAUUAGGACGGAUUGCCAUUCAUGAAUCUAUGUAAGCAAAGUGACAGCAUGUGUUUCACAUGGAUAUAGACACAACGAAUCAAAACGUACAUCUAAUAAUAGAAGUAUAAAGCCAAACUGUUUGGAGGUCAUGGAGCCGUGUAAUACUAAAAUGAGAGCAGGUAAUAUAUGCAUCUCUCGGGUGUUUGAGUAA